rnacentral:rRNA from 1 species
GACGAACGCUGGCGGCGUGCUUAACACAUGCAAGUCGAACGGUGAAGCUCCAGCUUGCUGGAGUGGAUCAGUGGCGAACGGGUGAGUAACACGUGAGCAACCUGCCCCUGACUCUGGAAUAAGCGCUGGAAACGGCGUCUAAUACUGGAUACGAGAAGGGUCCGCAUGGGCACUUUCUGGAAAGUUCUUCGGUUGGGGAUGGGCUCGCGGCCUAUCAGCUUGUUGGUGAGGUAAUGGCUCACCAAGGCGACGACGGGUAGCCGGCCUGAGAGGGCGACCGGCCACACUGGGACUGAGAGACGGCCCAGACUCCUACGGGAGGCAGCAGUGGGGAAUAUUGCACAAUGGGCGAAAGCCUGAUGCAGCGACGCCGCGUGAGGGAUGACGGCCUUCGGGUUGUAAACCUCUUUCAGCAGGGAAGAAGCGAAAGUGACGGUACCUGCAGAAGAAGCACCGGCUAACUACGUG